rnacentral:rRNA from 4 species
GGUUAAGCGACUAAGCGUACACGGUGGAUGCCCUGGCAGUCAGAGGCGAUGAAGGACGUGCUAAUCUGCGAUAAGCGCCGGUAAGGUGAUAUGAACCGUUAUAACCGGCGAUUUCCGAAUGGGGAAACCCAGUGUGAUUCGUCACACUAUCAUUAACUGAAUCCAUAGGUUAAUGAGGCGAACCGGGGGAACUGAAACAUCUAAGUACCCCGAGGAAAAGAAAUCAACCGAGAUUCCCCCAGUAGCGGCGAGCGAACGGGGAGGAGCCCAGAGCCUGAAUCAGCAUGUGUGUUAGUGGAAGCGUCUGGAAAGGUGCGCGAUACAGGGUGACAGCCCCGUACACAAAAGCGCAUGUGCUGUGAGCUCGAUGAGUAGGGCGGGACACGUGGUAUCCUGUCUGAAUAUGGGGGGACCAUCCUCCAAGGCUAAAUACUCCUGACUGACCGAUAGUGAACCAGUACCGUGAGGGAAAGGCGAAAAGAACCCCGGCGAGGGGAGUGAAAAAGAACCUGAAACCGUGUACGUACAAGCAGUGGGAGCACCCUUCGGGGUGUGACUGCGUACCUUUUGUAUAAUGGGUCAGCGACUUAUAUUCUGUAGCAAGGUUAACCGUAUAGGGGAGCCGGAGGGAAACCGAGUCUUAACCGGGCGUUAAGUUGCAGGGUAUAGACCCGAAACCCGGUGAUCUAGCCAUGGGCAGGUUGAAGGUUGGGUAACACUAACUGGAGGACCGAACCGACUAAUGUUGAAAAAUUAGCGGAUGACCUGUGGCUGGGGGUGAAAGGCCAAUCAAACCGGGAGAUAGCUGGUUCUCCCCGAAAGCUAUUUAGGUAGCGCCUCGUGAAUUCAUCUCCGGGGGUAGAGCACUGUUUCGGCUAGGGGGCCAUCCCGGCUUACCAACCCGAUGCAAACUGCGAAUACCGGAGAAUGUUAUCACGGGAGACACACGGCGGGUGCUAACGUCCGUCGUGAAGAGGGAAACAACCCAGACCGCCAGCUAAGGUCCCAAAGUCAUGGUUAAGUGGGAAACGAUGUGGGAAGGCCCAGACAGCCAGGAUGUUGGCUUAGAAGCAGCCAUCAUUUAAAGAAAGCGUAAUAGCUCACUGGUCGAGUCGGCCUGCGCGGAAGAUGUAACGGGGCUAAACCAUGCACCGAAGCUGCGGCAGCGACGCUGAUGCGUUGUUGGGUAGGGGAGCGUUCUGUAAGCCUGCGAAGGUGACCUGUGAGGGUUGCUGGAGGUAUCAGAAGUGCGAAUGCUGACAUAAGUAACGAUAAAGCGGGUGAAAAGCCCGCUCGCCGGAAGACCAAGGGUUCCUGUCCAACGUUAAUCGGGGCAGGGUGAGUCGACCCCUAAGGCGAGGCCGAAAGGCGUAGUCGAUGGGAAACGGGUUAAUAUUCCCGUACUUGGUGUUACUGCGAAGGGGGGACGGAGAAGGCUAUGUUGGCCGGGCGACGGUUGUCCCGGUUUAAGCGUGUAGGUGUGUGUUCCAGGUAAAUCCGGUUCACUUUAACACUGAGGCGUGAUGACGAGGCACUACGGUGCUGAAGCAACAAAUGCCCUGCUUCCAGGAAAAGCCUCUAAGCAUCAGGUAACAUCAAAUCGUACCCCAAACCGACACAGGUGGUCAGGUAGAGAAUACCAAGGCGCUUGAGAGAACUCGGGUGAAGGAACUAGGCAAAAUGGUGCCGUAACUUCGGGAGAAGGCACGCUGACACGUAGGUGAAGUGAUUUACUCACGGAGCUGAAGUCAGUCGAAGAUACCAGCUGGCUGCAACUGUUUAUUAAAAACACAGCACUGUGCAAACACGAAAGUGGACGUAUACGGUGUGACGCCUGCCCGGUGCCGGAAGGUUAAUUGAUGGGGUCAGCGCAAGCGAAGCUCCUGAUCGAAGCCCCGGUAAACGGCGGCCGUAACUAUAACGGUCCUAAGGUAGCGAAAUUCCUUGUCGGGUAAGUUCCGACCUGCACGAAUGGCGUAAUGAUGGCCAGGCUGUCUCCACCCGAGACUCAGUGAAAUUGAACUCGCUGUGAAGAUGCAGUGUACCCGCGGCAAGACGGAAAGACCCCGUGAACCUUUACUAUAGCUUGACACUGAACAUUGAGCCUUGAUGUGUAGGAUAGGUGGGAGGCUUUGAAGUGUGGACGCCAGUCUGCAUGGAGCCGACCUUGAAAUACCACCCUUUAAUGUUUGAUGUUCUAACGUGGACCCGUAAUCCGGGUUGCGGACAGUGUCUGGUGGGUAGUUUGACUGGGGCGGUCUCCUCCUAAAGAGUAACGGAGGAGCACGAAGGUUGGCUAAUCCUGGUCGGACAUCAGGAGGUUAGUGCAAUGGCAUAAGCCAGCUUGACUGCGAGCGUGACGGCGCGAGCAGGUGCGAAAGCAGGUCAUAGUGAUCCGGUGGUUCUGAAUGGAAGGGCCAUCGCUCAACGGAUAAAAGGUACUCCGGGGAUAACAGGCUGAUACCGCCCAAGAGUUCAUAUCGACGGCGGUGUUUGGCACCUCGAUGUCGGCUCAUCACAUCCUGGGGCUGAAGUAGGUCCCAAGGGUAUGGCUGUUCGCCAUUUAAAGUGGUACGCGAGCUGGGUUUAGAACGUCGUGAGACAGUUCGGUCCCUAUCUGCCGUGGGCGCUGGAGAACUGAGGGGGGCUGCUCCUAGUACGAGAGGACCGGAGUGGACGCAUCACUGGUGUUCGGGUUGUCAUGCCAAUGGCACUGCCCGGUAGCUAAAUGCGGAAGAGAUAAGUGCUGAAAGCAUCUAAGCACGAAACUUGCCCCGAGAUGAGUUCUCCCUGAGACUUAGAGUCUCCUGAAGGAACGUUGAAGACGACGACGUUGAUAGGCCGGGUGUGUAAGCGCAGCGAUGCGUUGAGCUAACCGGUACUAAUGAACCGUGAGGCUUAACCUU